AGAGUGAAGAGGCCUGGGGCGGGCGCGUGCGUAGUAGGAAAGCUCGCGUGGAGUCGAGGGGCUUCGGUCCUUGGUGCUAUCUAGUGAGCUCGUCUUCCAGCCCGCUAGCCCCGCCAUGGCAGACGAAGACCUGGAGGCCCUGCGAAAGCAGAGGCUGGCCGAACUGCAGGCGAAGCACGGGGACUCUUCUGGUGACCCAGCACAACAGGAGGCAAAACACAGGGAAGCAGAGAUGAGAAACAAUAUUCUAGCUCAAGUUCUGGAUCAGUCAGCACGGGCCAGGUUAAGUAAUUUAGCACUUGUAAAGCCAGAAAAGGCCAAAGCAGUAGAGAACUACCUCAUACAGAUGGCAAGAUAUGGGCAACUGAGUGGAAAGGUAUCAGAGCAAGGAUUGAUAGAAAUUCUUGAAAAAGUAAGCCAGCAAACAGAAAAGAAAAUAACAGUUAAGUUCAACAGAAGAAAAGUAAUGGAUUCUGAUGAAGAUGAUGAAUAUUGAAAUCUAAUGUUUAAAGACUCAUGAACUUCUUGAAAAAUUUCUAGGAAAAAAUAAUACUUGGCAGAAGUGAAGAGCUAAUUACAUGGAUAACCACUUUACCUUGGUGGCAAUCAACUGUGUGACUUUGUUGACAAUCUUUAAACAAUCUACUGCCCCCUGAAGAAAAUUUAAGAAUGACAGUGAUUUAAAUAAGGAUUACUGAGGACCCUGAAGGUACAGAACAGAUAUUGCCUACACAUAGAAGAAUGUUUAACACAGAACAGCCAUGACCGCACAUUGGAAAAAAGACUUAAAUGAAAACAGCAGUAAUUUCUCUUAAACUCUGCCAGAAAGCUGACGUUUAAAACAACAUAAUCAUGAAGCAGUUUGUGGGACUGCUGAUCAAUAAGCAUUUUACCUUUUACUUCAGCUCUGCCCUGUCUCUUAGUCUUCAGGCAAGCCAGACCAAGGACUGGCCUUAUCCUCCAGCUGAUGGUCAUCUUCGAGAGUACUGAAAGAGUUGAUGGGGAAUUCUCCCCUUGCCAGUCAGCCCUAGCCAAAUAACCCAGGACCACCAGACCUCUCAAACUCACAUAGUGGCUCUUCAAACCUGGUAUUUCUUCACUCAGUUUAGGAAAGAUCAAACAGAGGUGGCAUCUCAAAGGCCCAAAUCAGGCCUGCCUAAGCAGGACAUGAGACUUAGCUUCCAUGUGCUCAGGGCAGCCAUUUCUUCGGGGGUGUGAGGGAGGGAGAUGGGCGGUCCCUCUCCCCAUCCUUUAGGGAGAGCUACUUGCUACACAGGGAGUCCAAGGAAGAAGACUGCUAGAUUUCUGUAAGUGCAACUGAAAUACCCCCUCCUCCCUAAAACUUUCCCUGUUGGUAGAGAUCUUCCUCCUUGGAUUUCACAUAAUACAUUGUUUUGUAAUUCUCUAAUAUACCUAUUGUAUAAUGUAUAUUCUAGUUGUGUGUGUGUAUUAUCUUCCCAAGUAAGCUGUAAGCUCCAUGAGGGCAGAAACCACGCCUCAUCUAAAUUUAGUAUCUCCCCCAAUGUCUAACUCUUCACUCAGUAAGCAUUUAAUAUUUGUUCAGUAAAUCAGUGUUUAUAUAGAAUA